rnacentral:lncRNA from 1 species
CAACCUAUAGAACAGCUGGGGACGCUGUAAAGGUAUUUUGCCUCUGGAGUGCUGACAAGAGAUUAUAAAGACAGAGAGCACACAGAAUUAUGUCUGGAGCUGUGCAGGGAGCAGUGCGCGUCGCUGCCAGCCUUCAGGGCACCCGCAGGGCUGCUCCUCACCUGGCAGGUCAGGCUGCAGAACAAGUGUCAGUGAGUCAGGCUCCAUUUCCUGCUUUAUUAGCAUAAAUAAAGUUCAGGAAUCUCACCUCACAUCUUCCGAGCACAAGGAGCUUCACAAGGAGCUUCGAUGCUUUCCAAAGGACUCUCUUCUCUGGAAUUCAGUGGGUUUGAACGAAGCCACACUAUCCUCCAUGCAUGCUGUAAAGCUCAGCCAGACCCAUCAAGAGCAGUGCCCUGAGCUUCCCCUGGAGAUGAGCUUCCUCUUGGUUUAACAGCCUGAGCACAGCUCCUGGGGACGCAAGAGCCUGGAUGCCUACAAGGAAUCUCACUGACAACACAGAAGAUGCUUUUCCCACCAGCACAUCACUUCCAUCCAUUUUAUUUCCUGGCAGAUAAAGAGAGAAACACUUCGUUCUUCACCUCAUUCCUGAAAUAAAUUAACAGAUGCCGAGGCACAGAAGCAAGGUCAAAGCAAACAAGCACAAACUGGCUUGUCAGGAGUAAAUAGAGAUGAAAAUGAAGGCAGGCCUCCUGGCUCUCGAUCUAGUACUCUCAUUAUGGUCUCUACUGCCUUAGGAAAUGGAAAGCAAGCCCACUGCUCAAAAAAGGGAAGAUCCCUAAGGAUGCAGAAGAAACAAUGCAAUUAAAAAGAAAACAGAAAACAUAGAAACCUAUGGCACUUUGAUGUCCUAAGAGCCAAGGCCGGGCUCAGAAGUGGAGUUAAAGGUGUGCAGCAGCUCACCGUGGGAAGCGGAGCAUCUGAAAAGAGAGAGCAAAAUGCAGUGUGGAGAAUUCUUGGCAAACCACGCCGGCAAGCUGCAGUCUGAACCACUUAAGACCCAGCAGUUUUGUUGAUGCUCGUGCUCAAGGACUGGCAGCGGGAGUGAAUAAUGGCACUCAGAGCAGCUGCUCUGUGCCUGACAUGUUGAACCAGGGUGGAAAUCCCACCAUCUGACUUGGGGGGAUAACGUUAAAUCCAUUACAGCAGUCUGUCUUCCACUGCUCAUCCCACACAAGCUUCAGAAGUUCUGCUUUAUGCCUGGCUGCGACAUGAUCAUUGCAGGCUGUCUCCGGAGGGAUAAUCCUAAAUUUUAAGUGACAGUUCACGGGCAUCUUCUCUUUCUUCUGAACUGCUGUCUUACCCAGCACAUUGAUUGUUUUGGAGAUUAAUAAUCGGAGCAAAGAGUUCUAACGUGGGUGUCCUAGAGGAGAUUUAGCAAAGAACGGUUUGUGUUUGAAGUUGUCAUGGCACAGGAAACAUAAGAAGCCUUGAAGACCAAAAGCAAGUCCUGCACACAGCCCAAGCAGAAAUCUGGGACGUGGGACAUGUGACCUGUGUUUAGUCUCCAGGGCUCCUCACUGACGUGGUGUUUCCACUCCGAGCAGAUCUUAGGGACCCUGUGAAAGGUG